rnacentral:lncRNA from 1 species
GCACAACAGUACAUAAAUUAAAUCAACGAAAAAAACACAGGGAAUUGUUAACCCAGUUCGGUGCAACAUCACCUACAUCUGGAGGAUACCAAUCCAGGAGUCAAUUCACUAUCAAAUAAUAGCUCUCAGGUCACAUGAAAGUCCCUCUUAUACCUAAGUACUCCCCCUUAGUAUAAAGCCUCUUCAAUGUCUACCACUAUUACAUAAGUGAAUCUAGCUUAGCCCUUCUCCUCUAAGCUAUGAGGAAACUUCCCCUAACUCCUAAUGAUCACUGCCACAGUGACCGAUCCGUUACAAGAGAUUGAAAGAUAGAUCUCAUGAUCAAACAACAAUUUGAAGAGAUUACAACUCAACUAAACAAACCAACUCUAAGCCAUAUGAUUAUCAAUGGAGGCAGUAGAGAGGUGUACAAAAUAACAGAACAAGGACUCACAAAACAAAACCCUAAAAACCCAAUCCUUGGGUGCCCAAGGCACACUUUGCAACUAGGGUUAAGCCUCCUUAAAUAGGCUUUCUUCUGGUCUUGAUCUUCAAUGGGCUUGCACGAAAAUAGAGUCCAUAAAACAGAUCUGGAACAAAUCUUUUAAACCAGUAACAAAUCUUAUCAAAUAAGAUUUGAACAAAAGAUAACAUCUUUCACAAUUUAAACCAAAUCAAAUCUUCUUCAACAGAUUUGAUUCCACUAUAUUAUAUUCCAGAUAACAAAUAGAAGCUUCUUCAAUAACCUUAACUUGAUUAUCACGAAAUCCAUCCAAAGCUUCUAGAAAAAUCAGCCAAACACACAGCAGAUCCGCAGGACAAAUGUCACAGCACGAUGUUACAACAUCUGCUUCGACAUUAGGUUGUUUUUGAAAAAAUGCAGACAACCAAAAGUAACAACAAUCUCCCCCUUUGUCAAAUUUUGUCUAAAACAACUUGAGAUUCAGAGAAGAUAAACAUAACUCCCUCUCAGCAGCAGAACUCCCCCUCAAACGGUGCACAUCAUCGGGUUGCAUAUCAGAGACACAUUAUAAACAGCAGUAGAUACAUGAGAUCACAAGAUCAGAUCUAUUUAUUGAUCCCUCUUCCUUGGCGUUGUCCAUGAAACCAGAAUAUAUUCCCUGGAGCUCACCCAACAGAAUAGGGUGCCUGCUCUGAUACCAAUUGUAAAUACGGUUCUCGCACAGGACAGAUGUCGAACGCGAUGUUGGGACAAUCGGUUCGACAAUUGCACAACAGUACAUAAAUUAAAUCAACGAAAAAAACACAGGGAAUUGUUAACCCAGUUCGGUGCAACAUCACCUACAUCUGGAGGAUACCAAUCCAGGAGUCAAUUCACUAUCAAAUAAUAGCUCUCAGGUCACAUGAAAGUCCCUCUUAUACCUAAGUACUCCCCCUUAGUAUAAAGCCUCUUCAAUGUCUACCACUAUUACAUAAGUGAAUCUAGCUUAGCCCUUCUCCUCUAAGCUAUGAGGAAACUUCCCCUAACUCCUAAUGAUCACUGCCACAGUGACCGAUCCGUUACAAGAGAUUGAAAGAUAGAUCUCAUGAUCAAACAACAAUUUGAAGAGAUUACAACUCAACUAAACAAACCAACUCUAAGCCAUAUGAUUAUCAAUGGAGGCAGUAGAGAGGUGUACAAAAUAACAGAACAAGGACUCACAAAACAAAACCCUAAAAACCCAAUCCUUGGGUGCCCAAGGCACACUUUGCAACUAGGGUUAAGCCUCCUUAAAUAGGCUUUCUUCUGGUCUUGAUCUUCAAUGGGCUUGCACGAAAAUAGAGUCCAUAAAACAGAUCUGGAACAAAUCUUUUAAACCAGUAACAAAUCUUAUCAAAUAAGAUUUGAACAAAAGAUAACAUCUUUCACAAUUUAAACCAAAUCAAAUCUUCUUCAACAGAUUUGAUUCCACUAUAUUAUAUUCCAGAUAACAAAUAGAAGCUUCUUCAAUAACCUUAACUUGAUUAUCACGAAAUCCAUCCAAAGCUUCUAGAAAAAUCAGCCAAACACACAGCAGAUCCGC